GGGGACGCAAGGGUUCGACAGGGAAAGUUGAUCCCGGUUGGCAGGUCGAGGUCGCCAGAUCCUCGUAAAUCUCCUGGCACUUUAAGCUUAACUGGCGACAACCAGUACGCUCUCGCCGCCUAACUAUUAGGUAGUGACGUUGGACGCAGGCCUCACCCCGAUGGGCAGCGCUCCAGCGACGCAAUGUCGGGGUGCUGUCUCCUUGACGCCGAUAGCGGAGACAAAAGACAAUCGGCUUGGCCCGGCGGUUACGCGGCCGCCAGCGGUACGCCGGGCGAGAUUUAAGAGACGGCUAAGCCUGUAGAAGCCCGGGUGGGUUUUCCUCUGGACGAGGGGUUCGAUUCCCCUCCGUCUCCACCA
rnacentral:tmRNA from 1 species